rnacentral:rRNA from 1 species
CUGGAGGUAUCAGAAGUGCGAAUGCUGACAUAAGUAACGAUAAAGCGGGUGAAAAGCCCGCUCGCCGGAAGACCAAGGGUUCCUGUCCAACGUUAAUCGGGGCAGGGUGAGUCGACCCCUAAGGCGAGGCCGAAAGGCGUAGUCGAUGGGAAACAGGUUAAUAUUCCUGUACUUGGUGUUACUGCGAAGGGGGGACGGAGAAGGCUAUGUUGGCCGGGCGACGGUUGUCCCGGUUUAAGCGUGUAGGCUGGUUUUCCAGGCAAAUCCGGAAAAUCAAGGCUGAGGCGUGAUGACGAGGCACUACGGUGCUGAAGCAACAAAUGCCCUGCUUCCAGGAAAAGCCUCUAAGCAUCAGGUAACAUCAAAUCGUACCCCAAACCGACACAGGUGGUCAGGUAGAGAAUACCAAGGCGCUUGAGAGAACUCGGGUGAAGGAACUAGGCAAAAUGGUGCCGUAACUUCGGGAGAAGGCACGCUGAUAUGUAGGUGAAGUCCCUCGCGGAUGGAGCUGAAAUCAGUCGAAGAUACCAGCUGGCUGCAACUGUUUAUUAAAAACACAGCACUGUGCAAACACGAAAGUGGACGUAUACGGUGUGACGCCUGCCCGGUGCCGGAAGGUUAAUUGAUGGGGUUAGCGCAAGCGAAGCUCUUGAUCGAAGCCCCGGUAAACGGCGGCCGUAACUAUAACGGUCCUAAGGUAGCGAAAUUCCUUGUCGGGUAAGUUCCGACCUGCACGAAUGGCGUAAUGAUGGCCAGGCUGUCUCCACCCGAGACUCAGUGAAAUUGAACUCGCUGUGAAGAUGCAGUGUACCCGCGGCAAGACGGAAAGACCCCGUGAACCUUUACUAUAGCUUGACACUGAACAUUGAGCCUUGAUGUGUAGGAUAGGUGGGAGGCUUUGAAGUGUGGACGCCAGUCUGCAUGGAGCCGACCUUGAAAUACCACCCUUUAAUGUUUGAUGUUCUAACGUUGACCCGUAAUCCGGGUUGCGGACAGUGUCUGGUGGGUAGUUUGACUGGGGCGGUCUCCUCCUAAAGAGUAACGGAGGAGCACGAAGGUUGGCUAAUCCUGGUCGGACAUCAGGAGGUUAGUGCAAUGGCAUAAGCCAGCUUGACUGCGAGCGUGACGGCGCGAGCAGGUGCGAAAGCAGGUCAUAGUGAUCCGGUGGUUCUGAAUGGAAGGGCCAUCGCUCAACGGAUAAAAGGUACUCCGGGGAUAACAGGCUGAUACCGCCCAAGAGUUCAUAUCGACGGCGGUGUUUGGCACCUCGAUGUCGGCUCAUCACAUCCUGGGGCUGAAGUAGGUCCCAAGGGUAUGGCUGUUCGCCAUUUAAAGUGGUACGCGAGCUGGGUUUAGAACGUCGUGAGACAGUUCGGUCCCUAUCUGCCGUGGGCGCUGGAGAAUUGAGGGGGGCUGCUCCUAGUACGAGAGGACCGGAGUGGACGCAUCACUGGUGUUCGGGUUGUCAUGCCAAUGGCACUGCCCGGUAGCUAAAUGCGGAAGAGAUAAGUGCUGAAAGCAUCUAAGCACGAAACUUGCCCCGAGAUGAGUUCUCCCUGACUCCUUGAGAGUCCUGAAGGAA